ACAAGGUUUCGUAGGUGAACCUGCGGAAGGAUCAUUA
rnacentral:rRNA from 1 species